GCAGCCGUGGCCUAAUGGUUAGAGAGUCGGACUUGCAACCCGAAGGUGAACCUGAAGGUUCGAGUCUUGGGCCGGCAGGG